rnacentral:rRNA from 1 species
AUGGAUCAGGAAAAUGUGGGAAGUAUUUGUAUCCGGAGAUUAGAGAAAGAUUACUCUGUUUUUGAGUAUAUCAGUAAAGGAAGCCUUCACAAUCAUCUUACUGAUGAAUUAAGAGGACUUGAGUGGCAUACACGUUAUCAAACUAUAAAGGGAAUUUGUGAUGGUCUACAAUAUCUUCACAAGGAAAAGGAUGUUGUUCAUAUGGAUCUUAAACCUCACAAUAUACUGAUGGAUGAUCUCAUGAUACCAAAAAUUACGGACUUUGGUGUAUCAAAACACCUUGAUGGAAUAUCACAAGCUGUUACUGGAGGAUGUCAUGUGUCACUAGGAUAUUGUGCUCCAGAAUAUCUGCACCGUGGCCAGGUGUCUUUCAAGUCAGACAUAUUUAGUCUGGGUGUUAUAAUUAUAGAUCUCGUGACUGGACGUAAGGAGGAUCCUGAUACUAAAAUUGUACUAAGAAGAUGGAGGUACAGGUGGAAUAGAUCGGCCACUUAUCCACCAUUGGGAUACCAACAAGUUACUGAAUGCAUAGAAAUUGCAGCACGCUGCGUGUCACAUGACCCGAAAAAACGACCUUAUAUAUCGGAUAUAAUCCGUCAGCUCGAUGAAUUGGAGAGUACAAAUGGGCACGUCAACUAUGCUAAUGAACCUACAUUUAGCCUGAUAAGCCCUUACCCUUGGGAGCUGCUUGACAUAGAUCCUCUCGAGCUGCAUUUCCCUUUUGAGGCAAAUAAGCAGAUACCAUGUUUGCUUCAACUAAGUAACCCGAGGGAUGAUUACAUUGCCUUCUACAUGCAAACCUCAAGUGGACAGUACGUACCUCGUAGAACCAAGCAAAGGAAUUGUACCGCCCCAAUCCAAGAGCAAUGUCAUCAUAACAUUUCAAGCACAGAAGAUGGCACCGCAUCGCAUGCGGAAUAA